CGUCAGGUAGCUCAGUGGUUUUAGAGCAGUCGCCCGGCAAGCGAAAGACCCGGGUUCGAUUCCCGGUCUAGCGA
rnacentral:tRNA from 1 species